CAAAUGCUUCGGGGAGCUGCGAUGCUGAGAUAACCCGGCUCCUCCAGGCUGCCUCAUCUCAGCGAUUAUCCUGAAGGAGCACCCGCCCUUCAGGUGUCCCAGAAGCUGCUUGUCAGGCCAGGAAGACAGCAGCCCUGAUGAUCAGUUCUUCCUAAAGCCAUCCGGCUCCUGGGGAGAGGCAGGUGGGACUCCAGAACUCACAGAGCUUUUGGGAGGAGAAAGAGGAGGCCGGAGAAGCAAAGGGCUUUACAGCAAGAGAGUGGUCAGUCGCAGCCACUGGGGAAAAGCCCAGAGGGAGGGCAGGGGCGGGAGGAGUGGGCAGAGGAUGGAGGCCCAGCCCGGGAAGAAAGUGGGAAAGGGUGACCGGGUUUUUGGGGUGGGGUUGAACGUGAUGCUUACGUUUCCAGAGGAAUCUUGGCCUGUCCCCACGCAGGGGACAGGGAGGUGCCUAGAAGCAGCAGCCACAGGAGGGCCGAGGUCUUCUGCACAAAGGCCCAGGCCACGGGCAUUGGCUGGAGGGGAAUCCAGCGGCUGCUGGAGCUGGGGUUUGCGAGGAAGUUGGGAGUUGCAGGCAUGGUGGGCCUGGGGUUGGGGAGGGGAAGGAGGGCAGAGCAGCCACAGACCAUGAGCUCUGUCUGCCUUCCUCCCAGACCCCAGGACGCCCCAGGCCUUUGUCUUCCGUGCCUUGGCGAGCCUGGGGUCUCCAGCCUCUCAGUCCUGGGUGGGGAGGGCUUCUCUCUGCCCCACAGCUGCAGCUCACAGAAGAGUCGCCCCACCUAGCAAGCAGGCCUCGGAGACAGGGACUGGGGGAGAGGCUGUGGCAACAUGAAACCCUUUAAUCCGCUGGCCUCUCCUCUAAUCCUCUCCUGACAGCAGGGAGGGGGUGGCAGGGGGUGGGGAGCUGCCUCCCAAGAUUACCACAACUGCAGCUGGUUCCCUCAGGGCUAUAGUGCACCCCUCUGCUUUAAAGAGGCAGCCCCGUUCCUGUGGAACCACCUUCUGGACCCAGGAAGGGCUUGCUGUGACUAUGGCCAGAGGACAGCAGCUGAGUUUGCACAGUACUCUGAUUGACCCACAAAUCUCUUGUUGACCCUGAGGUGGGGGUGUGUCCUCAUCCCUGCUUGGCAGAGGCUCUUGAGGCCCGGGGAGUCCCAGGGGCAGAGCUGGGACUCUGGCUGGUGUUUCCAGGCCUGGUGCCUUUGGGACAGGUCAUAGGUCAUAGGUGAAGUCAGUGGACCCACGCCUCCACAUCUCAGCUGCUCGUGGGCGGGGCUGGGGACGCAUUUGCUGUGCAACUGAUGAAGCUUCAGGACCCCUGAAUCCACAGACUCCCCCCUUUCCCGGAGAGGCCCUAGCAAUGUGUUCCUGUGGCCAAAUGUUUUUGUAAAAUAUGCAAAAGUUGAGAUAGUUUAACCAUAACCGGUUGAGACUGUCUGUCUCUUUCCAUCCCAACUUCUCUUCCGUCUGAGGGACUCUUAGUUGGAUGAUGUUUGGGUGGCUGAGGGCACUUGGGGGAUCCAGUUAAGAGGAAAGUGAGCUGGGGAAACACUUAAUCUGGGCUUAGUGGGAUAUGCUGACAUGGUUCACAGUGACUUCUUUGUACAGAGAAGUUACCUCCAGCUGAGUGUAGGCAGGGCUUCCAGGAACACUCAUCCCACAGGACAUCCCACCAGCAGAUGCAGCAAGAGAGGCUGGGCCGUGAUGUGAGCGCACGCUGUCACACCCACCCUGGCCAUGUGUGGUGGGGAGGGCAAAGUAACAGUCAGGAGCUCAUCUGCAGAAAAUCUACAAAAAGCCACACAGGUAACAUCGUUGGUGGAGGAUUUGGUUCUCACCAAGGCCUGGCCAGGACAGAAGUUCUCUCCUGUUAGGAAAAUAGUGGAUAUUGAAAGAAUAUAAUUACACCGUACAUUGCUUUGUGUUCUGAUGAGAGUUACACAAAUUAGAAUUGAUCAAAAUUCUUGUGUUGUGAGCCCAAACCAGUAGUAGUACCACAUGGGUUCUCCGGGGGUGAAGUCAUAGAUUUUAUGCAGUCCCCGUAUCAGAUUAUUUUCUUAGUGUAACUGGUGCACUGUGUCUUCACAAAAUCUGGUGGUUCCAGCAAAAUGGUAAGCAAAAUUGCCACCAACGCAGAGAAAUGCUUGCAGAAGCAAGUGUUCUGAUGACAAAACUCCUACACAGAUUCAUCAAUAAGUCAGUGCUGUAGUAUCAGAGUAAUCUGGUGGCACAGUUUUGUGGCUGAAUACAAUGUAUUUUUUAAAGGCAUCUAAAUGAUUCCUAUGAAUGCCUUAAUUUCACAUAAAUUUUGUACAUGUUUUGAGGAUUACAAAUCAAACACAUUUAGAAAAAAUACUACAGAGGCACACUGGGCAGUCAAUACAUAAAAAGAAUGUAACUUCUCUAGGUUUUGUGAAUUUGGUGGAAUUCACCAGCUUCUUAAAAUUUGUAAUUUGGAAUGAUUUUUAAAACUGAAUAAAUAUUCACCUUUUUUC
rnacentral:lncRNA from 10 species